AUUGAACGCUGGCGGCAUGCCUAACACAUGCAAGUCGAACGGUAACAGGAAGAAGCUUGCUUCUUUGCUGACGAGUGGCGGACGGGUGAGUCAUGUCUGGGAAACUGCCUGAUGGAGGGGGAUAACUACUGGAAACGGUAGCUAAUACCGCAUAACGUCGCAAGACCAAAAAGGGGGCCCUUCGUUCCUCUUGCCAUCGGAUGUGCCCAGAUGGGAUUAUCUAGGAGGUGGGGUAACGGCUCACCUAUGCGACGAUCCCUAGCUGGUCUGAGAGGAUGACCAGCCACACUGGAACUGAGACACGGUCCAGACUCCUACGGGAGGCAGCAGUGGGGAAUAUUGCACAAUGGGGGAAAGGCUGAUGCAGCAAUGCCGCGUGUAUGAAGAAGGCCUUCGGGUGGUAAAGUACUUUCAGCGGGGAGGAAGGGAGUAAAGUUAAUACCUUUGCUCAUUGACGUUACCCGCAGAAGAAGCACCGGCUAACUCCGUG
rnacentral:rRNA from 1 species